rnacentral:rRNA from 1 species
GACGAACGCUGGCGGCGUGCUUAACACAUGCAAGUCGAACGGAAAGGCCCUGCUUUUGUGGGGUGCUCGAGUGGCGAACGGGUGAGUAACACGUGAGUAACCUGCCCUUGACUUUGGGAUAACUUCAGGAAACUGGGGCUAAUACCGGAUAGGAGCUCCUGCUGCAUGGUGGGGGUUGGAAAGUUUCGGCGGUUGGGGAUGGACUCGCGGCUUAUCAGCUUGUUGGGGGGGUAGUGGCUUACCAAGGCUUUGACGGGUAGCCGGCCUGAGAGGGUGACCGGCCACAUUGGGACUGAGAUACGGCCCAGACUCCUACGGGAGGCAGCAGUGGGGAAUAUUGCACAAUGGGCGGAAGCCUGAUGCAGCAACGCCGCGUGCGGGAUGCCGGCCUUCGGGUUGUAAACCGCUUUCGCCUGUGACGAGGCGUGAGUGACGGUAAUGGGUAAAGAAGCACCGGCUAACUACGUG